GAUGGACGCUGGCGGUAUGCUUAACACAUGCAAGUCGAACGGACUCUUCGGAGUUAGUGGCGGACGGGUGAGUAAGGCGUGAGAAUCUGGAUUUGGGUUCGGGACAACCACUGGAAACGGUGGCUAAUAGCGGAUGUGCCGAGAGGUAAAGGAGAAAUUUCCUGAAGAUGAGCUCGCGUUUGAUUAGCUUGUUGGUGAGGUAAAGGCUCACCAAGGCAGCGAUCAGUAGCAGGUCUGAGAGGAUGACCAGCCACACUAGGGCUGAGACGCGGCCCAGACUCCUGCGGGCAGCAGCAGUGAAGAAUUUUCCGCAAUGGGCGAAUGCCUGACGGAGCACUACCGCGUGGAGGAAGAAGUCUCUAGGGUAGUACACCUCUUUUCUUAGGGAAGCACAUAAUGACGGUACCUAAGGAAUCAGCAUCGGCUAACUCCGUG
rnacentral:rRNA from 1 species